ACCAUUUAUCCCUUUCCCCAUUCUCAUUCUCCUCCCGUUCCUUUUUCUCUGUUCAUGUCCUAAUUGCUAUAGAUUCUGCCAACAAAAGAGGAAGAUGAGAGAAGUGGGAUUUGGAGCGGAGUGCGGUGGCUGCAGGCUCCCGACGGCGGCAGGUCGUCCAGCUCGACCACACGUGCCUGCUGCUCGCCGCCAUCGUUGAUUGGAUGGCCAUGGAGUUGGGUCCACUUGAACCUGAGCGGUGGCACUCCUCCAGAAUUUUUCUGUUGGAGAGAAGGAUUUUGCGCCCCCAAGCAGCAGGGCUGCGAGGCAAAGCGGUCCCUGGGGAGGCCACUGAAUAAAAUGAGAGAUUCGUUUCCCUGAGUGGCAUUACUUUCUUGUUCGUGGCACUGGCCGAGAGUUGUGGCGUCGGGUUGGACCCCAUGUUUUUCAGUGUUCUAGGAUAUAACUUGUACAUAUGUGACUUGCCAUUGGUGUGCCUUGCGUUGUUUUAGGGAAUUUAACCUCUAUUUUUUUAGUUGACAUUCUACCCAACUUUGAUUAUCGUCUCUUCAACACGUCCGUACUAAUUACACGAAUUUUCCAAUAGAAAAAAGUGUUCAAUAUUUGUUGGAUAAAAGGUGUAUUAUUUCUAUUUAUUGUUACCAUAUAUUAGCAAGUUAUAUUAAUAAAGAUGUACCUAAGACAAAGGAAGAAGGCUUGCACGUAUUAACUGAAUUUGGCUCAUAUGUGUUAGUUGUUAUGCAAUACUGUAGAUUUUAGUUUUUUCACAUGUGUUGUAGGAGAUGUCUAUAACAUUGAAGAUUUCUCAUUGUUCUCUUCAACUGAAAAGGCUGUAGGAUAGAAGGUUUGUUUCCAAGAGCAUAAAACUCACAAAAGUGCAUGUAUGAAUGUAUUUUGAAUAAUUACAAUUUGACAUGCUUCUCAUAGUACUGACUUUUGACCCUUAUCUAAUAACUGCCCCCCUUAGACUAAUCCAUGUCAAGCAUUAUUUCUCUAUCUCAGUGAACAUAAAUGGUUGGCGUGGUGCUUCUCAGAUCCUCCCAUCCAAUAAGUUUAGCAAUUUUUACAUACCACUGUUAUUAGUGCAGAGUACAUAUAAUAUGAAAGUUCUCAUUCAAAUUAGCAAAAUAUGCUUACCAGGUGUUAUGAUUUCUAGAUAUGUACCACAAUUUUCGCAGUAACACUUUCCACUUUCCUUUGUAGUUAGUUUGUGUCAAUCAGAAUUGGAAAACAAAAUCAUAAAAAAAUCACCCAAAAACUUAAAAGGUAGCAUCCCGAAGAAGUUGAUAGACUAAUAAUUCAGAUAUGAUGAUUCUAUUAUAACUGAUAUGACUCGAUUGCUAGAAAAGCACUACAGGUCUGAUAGUCUCGUUUUCCUCAAGAACUGGUGAUAUCAUAUCGUAGAAGAAGUUUGAUCCAUCACCUGGCUUGUCUGGUUUUUAUGCCUCAUUCCAGUAAGUUCUUGUAAUGCUCUCCUUCUGUAAAAUAUUUCUACGCUCCUUGUUUAUUGCUAUCCAUCUCAAUCAUUUUUGGUAUACUUUCUUCUCUUCCAUAUGUGGAGUUAGUCAAGUAAAAUUGUUAUGUUAUAUUGGUGAAUAAACAUGAGUCACGAUUCAUUUGGAUAAAUAAUACAAGAUAUUUAGAUUUAUCUAGUACGGCUCGAAAUCUUGAUCAAGCGGUAUAUAGAUUUUACCAUAAAUGAUUUUUUUGUCUUUACUGUUUAUCAAGGCUCAAGUAUAUCCGGUGUUCAGAUAGGUUGGCGCUUGUUUUUUUGUACUGUGCCUCAUACCAAUGUCUAUUUUUCUGCCCGUUAAGUUCAACAUGUCUGUCCGUCAGAAUUAGAUGCAAGUGCAUGCAUGUACACAUGGGAUGUGUUUGGCGGCUAGACUUUUUAAUAUAAUUCCCAGUAAAUUGAACGAUUUAGGCGUGCCUUUUGUUUUUCUUCGAAGGACCUACCCAUGUUUUCUAAAGUGUGUAGAUGAUCUGAUUUUGUACUCCUAGUAGAUUGAAUUACUUAGGCGUAUCUCUUUUCUCUCUCAAAAGGACAUGCCCACGUUUUCCUAAUUUGUAUGGGGGGACCUAGCUUUGUACGUGCCCAUACUGAAAUAUGUCUAUACGUGAAUGAUUAUUUCCUAGUAGAUUGAAUUACUUAGGUUUGUACAUGAAUUACUUAGACCUUUUUCGUGCCUGUUUCUAUUUCAGCUGUGUAGAUCUGUAUAUAUUCUUCUAGCGCUGGUUGACUUUAGGCACAACCCUAUUAAAUCAAUCACAAAUCUAUUAGAUUUGUUUGUAACAUCAUUGGACUUACUGUAUGAAUUUUUGCAAUAAUUAAAUUCUAAUUUAAAAAAUAAGCAAACAUUCCAAAUAGUCUAGUUCUGGUUUCAUGACCCCUAAAGGGGGCUAAGUUGAAAAAGUCUUAAUCUUAGCCGCAAUGGUGGAAGUCCAAUUAAAAUUUCAGUAAUGGACAUGCAUUAUGCACUGCUCUGUUAUUAGAAGCAGUCUUGUGGUAAUAUGAAGUUUGUAAAAUCCUUUUUGUUAUUCUUGAUUCCUUUUUUGCGGGGAUUGUUAUUGUUGAUUCCACAUGCUUCAUUUGGGUGAAUAAUCCAAUGUCAUGCAAAUUUGCGUAUUAAUUUCUUCACGGCUAGAAAUAUUAAUUAGAUUAUUUAAAAGUGUAGAGUAGACAUAUGUGAGCAUUGAUUAACUUUAUCUCCCUGUUUUGUAUCGUGUCCUUGGUGGCAAACUCGGAAUUGUAAUCUAGACAACAUUCUAAUGGUCCUUUCACCUUUACCUAUACAUUGUAUGAAGAAAUAAAUUAAUUUCAUUUCUCAAUGGGUGAUACUUUGUGGAUUCCACAAACCUAAAAGUAUUAUAUGCAUACCUCUAAAAAAGUGUUAUAUGCAUACAUAGAAUUAUCAUUUUCUUUCAUUAUUAUAAGUGUAUCAAAUUCCUCCAGAUAAUAGCAUGAUGCUUUUAAUGUUGAUAGUAACAUGAACCGUUUCGCCAUGUGAAUGCAAACAAAAUAUAAUUAGCAUUUGCUUGUUUUAAAUUGUUGAUCUGUUGUAUGAUUGAGGUAAUCCACAUACCAACUGUGCCUCAUACCAAUGUCUAUUUUUCUGCCCGUUAAGUUCAACAUGUCUGUCCGUCAGAAUUAGAUGCAAGUGCAUGCAUGUACACAUGGGAUGUGUUUGGCGGCUAGACUUUUUAAUAUAAUUCCCAGUAAAUUGAACGAUUUAGGUGUGCCUUUUGUUUUUCUUCGAAGGACCUACCCAUGUUUUCUAAAGUGUGUAGAUGAUCUGAUUUUGUACUCCUAGUAGAUUGAAUUACUUAGGCGUAUCUCUUUUCUCUCUCAAAAGGACAUGCCCACGUUUUCCUAAUUUGUAUGGGGGGACCUAGCUUUGUACGUGCCCAUACUGAAAUAUGUCUAUACGUGAAUGAUUAUUUCCUAGUAGAUUGAAUUACUUAGGUUUGCACAUGAAUUACUUAGACCUUUUUCGUGCCUGUUUCUAUUUCAGCUGUGUAGAUCUGUAUAUAUUCUUCUAGCGCUGGUUGACUUUAGGCACAACCCUAUUAAAUCAAUCACAAAUCUAUUAGAUUUGUUUGUAACAUCAUUGGACUUACUGUAUGAAUUUUUGCAAUAAUUAAAUUCUAAUUUAAAAAAUAAGCAAACAUUCCAAAUAGUCUAGUUCUGGUUUCAUGACCCCUAAAGGGGGCUAAGUUGAAAAAGUCUUAAUCUUAGCCGCAAUGGUGGAAGUCCAAUUAAAAUUUCAGUAAUGGACAUGCAUUAUGCACUGCUCUGUUAUUAGAAGCAGUCUUGUGGUAAUAUGAAGUUUGUAAAAUCCUUUUUGUUAUUCUUGAUUCCUUUUUUUGUGGGGAUUGUUAUUGUUGAUUCCACAUGCUUCAUUUGGGUGAAUAAUCCAAUGUCAUGCAAAUUUGCGUAUUAAUUUCUUCACGGCUAGAAAUAUUAAUUAGAUUAUUUAAAAGUGUAGAGUAGACAUAUGUGAGCAUUGAUUAACUUUAUCUCCCUGUUUUGUAUCGUGUCCUUGGUGGCAAACUCGGAAUUGUAAUCUAGACAACAUUCUAAUGGUCCUUUCACCUUUACCUAUACAUUGUAUGAAGAAAUAAAUUAAUUUCAUUUCUCAAUGGGCGAUACUUUGUGGAUUCCACAAACCUAAAAGUAUUAUAUGCAUACCUGUAAAAAAGUGUUAUAUGCAUACAUAGAAUUAUCAUUUUCUUUCAUUAUUAUAAGUGUAUCAAAUUCCUCCAGAUAAUAGCAUGAUGCUUUUAAUGUUGAUAGUAACAUGAACCGUUUCGCCAUGUGAAUGCAAACAAAAUAUAAUUAGCAUUUGCUUGUUUUAAAUUGUUGAUCUGUUGUAUGAUUGAGGUAAUCCCACAUUCUCUAUACUUUUACUUGAAUGUUCUAGUUUGUCCUGUUGUUGGUAAGCGCUAAGCUUCUUCAACACCAUAGUUUUUUGGAUAUGAAAUGAUUCUGAAAUUUUUAAUCAGCUAUCUAUGCAACUUCUAUUCUGAAAACUGAAUUAAUUAAUUCAUAAUAUUUGCGAACCUGAUUCAGGUGAGAGGCAACUCAAAAGACCUGUCCUGACUUCAUCGGGCAUUGAGAUGCAGUCACAUCGGAGUUUUGGCAUUUUUUGUCUUCAAUUUUUUCUUCAAUUGAGUUAGAUAGCAGAUUUGUUCUGUAGUCUUCGAUUCUGUUGGUGAUGCUCUUGCCGGGUAGCAGAUUCUGGAAGACUUCUAUUUUCUCGGUGGUGCUCUGAUCGGGUAGCAGAUGUACAGACAUUGAUUUGUCCAGAAUUGGUUGGAUUCAAUUCUUGCGGUUGGA